rnacentral:rRNA from 1 species
ACGGAAGGCAGCAGUGGGGGAUAUUGCACAAUGGGGGAAACCCUGAUGCAGCGACGCCGCGUGAGCGAAGAAGUAUUUCGGUAUGUAAAGCUCUAUCAGCAGGGAAGAAAAUGACGGUACCUGACUAAGAAGCUCCGGCUAAAUACGUGCCAGCAGCCGCGGUAAUACGUAUGGAGCAAGCGUUAUCCGGAUUUACUGGGUGUAAAGGGGGCGUAGACGGUUUGCCAAGUCUGAUGUGAAAGGUGGGGGCUCAACCCCCAAACUGCAUUGGAAACUGGUAGACUAGAGUGUCGGAGAGGUAAGUGGAAUUCCUAGUGUAGCGGUGAAAUGCGUAGAUAUUAGGAGGAACACCAGUGGCGAAGGCGGCUUACUGGACGAUAACUGACGUUGAGGCUCGAAAGCGUGGGGAGCAAACAGGAUUAGAUACCCUGGUA